rnacentral:lncRNA from 1 species
CUAUAAUGUAGAAGUUCAAAUGUGAACAUUGUGACAAAAUAAUCCAUCCUUGAUGAAAUUUAGAAUCCAAGUUUUGAAGUCAGUUCUGGUCUGGCAAUAGGGUUGUUACUCGUUCACACUGUGAUAUAAUAUCAGUGCUUAAGAUAACUUUUGUGAAUUAGCAAAUGAAUCAGGUUUGCAUCAGGAGCAGCAGGAACACAAGACGGGUAACACAGUAAACAACAACCACUUCAUUUGUAUCUAAUAAAGUAAACAGUCAUCAGUGUGAACAUGCAUGGAACCAGAUCUGGAAGGGACAGGUACGGCUCACCAAAGAAAUCUCUUCCAGGAGCUUAACAAGCCAGCACAGACUUGGCAGUUUCGCUGCAGGAGGGAGGAAGACGACAAUUCGGGGUAUGUUCCAUGCUGCAUUCAGCAGGUUCUCUCCCCUCUGAAGUGCAAAAUUGUGGACAGGAGCAACCAGCUCACCUCUUUCCAUGUGAUUUGAGUGAGCAGUCCAAUCAUCAGCAGCACAUGUUGCAUUUUAAAGUUCGUAAUGCAAUCCGCCAUUCCAGUGGAUCACAAUGAAGCCCUCUGGCUAUGUCAUGGUAUGAGCUUUCCCUCUGCAUCCUUCAGCCCAUAUACUCAAGCUCAACUCCUGAAGCUCAGAAGCUGGACCCAAGCCUGGAUGUCAGCCCAAGAUCUGAUUGAGCCAGAGCCUACAGGGCCUCCCUGAAGGAGGGUAUGAUCAAUGGUUUAUGCUGUGAUCAGAAAACUAUUUCAGUAAAUUAUUGUUUGUUUAGCACCAGGAACAAAGUGGAGACAAAAGGGUUUCAGAACAACAAGC